rnacentral:lncRNA from 1 species
UCUGGAGUGUCUGCCACUAACCUCCACGAGAUCUGGCUGGAUUCAUCCUGGGCAUGGAAGCUGUUUAUUCAAAAUGGCACGACCAUAUAGAACAUAUAUAAAGAUUCAUUGGCCGUAUACUGCUCGAGGUUUUGCGGUCAGCUUUAAUUACCUGCAGAGGCAAUUGAAUUCGCCUCAAUGUAUCACAGUAUGUGUCCUUUAUUGACAUCAGAAUAUAUUUUAUAUAUUGGACUUUUUUAUUGCCGGAUUCUGACAUGCAAUUAAUGACAUUUUUCUGUUUAUUUAUUUAAUAGUUUAGAAUCUGAAAAUUUCGUAUGUUUAUAUCUAUAUAUGUAUAUAUAAUCUAUAUAUGUUUAGAUCGCCA